CAAUAGCGUAUAUUAAAGUUGUUGCAGUUAAAAAGCUCGUAGUUGGAUUUGUGGCGUACGGUGUGUUCCGGGCACUUGUUGUCUGAGUAACCUGCUGUUGCCAUCCUUGGGUGGAACCUGUGUGGCAUUAGGUUGUCGUGCAGGGGAUGCCCAUCAUUUACUGUGAAAAAAUUAGAGUGUUCAAAGCAGGCUUAUGCCGUUGAAUAUAUUAGCAUGGAAUAAUGAGAUAGGACUUUUUUGCUAUUUUGUUGAUUUGCGCAAGAAGGUAAUGAUUAAUAGGGACAGUUGGGGGUAUUCGUAUUCCAUUGUCAGAGGUGAAAUUCUUGGAUUUUUGGAAGACGAACUACUGCGAAAGCAUUUACCAAGGAUGUUUUCAUUAA
rnacentral:rRNA from 1 species